CCUAAGUGUAAGUUUAUACUAAUCAUCUUCAACAUUUGACUAUUCGUCUUAUUUAAAAAAAUUGUGAUUAGUAUUUCUUUUAUUAUUUGUUGAUAAAACAUGAAUAACACUUUACGUGUAACUAAUUUUUUUUUAUUUUUUAUAAAUUUUUUAAAUAAGACGGAUAGUCAAACGUUGUAAACAGAUACCCACAACUGCACUUAUU
rfam:Oryza sativa (indica cultivar-group) chromosome 7, whole genome shotgun sequence.